ensembl:lincRNA
CCUGAGUAGUGUAGAUUUUGAUGGACUUUUUUUUGUUUGUUUCUAUUUUUAUUUUUUUAAAGCUUUAUGAGCUUCAGUUGGGUAUGUGAUAGUUAGAUCAUGUGAACUUCUAAAAUAGUCUCUUAUUUAGUGUAUUUGGACCAAAUAACACUUGAGAUAGGUAAGUCACAGCCCUCCCCAGAAUGAGUAGAAAGGGCAGUUUAAACCUAUGGUCAGGAGGGGGGACGCCCUCUGCCGCACUGCUGUGGGGUGGGCAGAGGCCUCUUGCUCCCCGAACCCCGUGGGCUAGGAUGGGAGCUUGCUGAAAGGUAAAGCUCGGUCCAGGCAUUAAUUAAAGGCGGCUUCAAACAUUAACAGCGACCCGGUCCCGCUGGGUGUCCCCCGGCUCCCAGAAGGAAUCUUGGUCCGGAGCCUCGUGAGGUCUCCAGUCAUUUCUCCUGUCCUGACCCCUCACCGCCCUCUGGCUCUCACACAGGGGAGGACCCACUGUUCUUCCUGUCUCUUCCGAACUGGGUGCGGCUUCCCUCAGGUCCCAGGUGCUCCCACCGCAAGCUCCUUCUGUCAGGCUGCAUUUGAACGGCUUUGUCGUGGUCCGUCUGUGCACACGCAGAACAGCUGCGAGACACCUUUGCACUGGUCACAGCUGAGAACACUCCAUGGACAUGUGCCCUUUCCCGGAGAAGAUGCUGCAGGAGAGAGAGAGAGCAGCGGGGCAUCGGUGGCCUGGCUGUGUGCCCUCCCGUGCAGGCUAUGGAGAACUUGGCAAGGUUUUUGCUGCCUCCGAAUGGGAAACCCUACCCGAGCGCACAUUCCCGCCCUGCAGACGCUGCGCUGCUCCCCGGAGUGCCCAGCUCAUGUCCCCAGCUCCUCAGAGCCGGCCCUCUGCACGGCUUCCCUCCUCCACUUCCAGCCCCAUCCGGUAGGUACUGGGCCCUGACGCCCAACUCGGAGUUCUGCCCCACCCCACAGCCUUUCUCUCUGGCCCUUCCUUUUCUCCACUCCUGAUCUGCGGUCCUUGUGCCUCUCCUGAUACCCACGCCUCCCUCCGCCGCCGCCCACAGCACGCCUGCUCAGCACUGGCCGCCCAUUCCCACGGAGCCAACCCCUGACUCCGGCGCUCUGGUCCGCAUUCCAACUCCGGCGUCCCCUUGCUCCUCCUGACCAGCAGCCCUGCUCUUCGGGACGAUCCUCCAGCCCAGGACCGUGGUGUCUGUGCCCCUUUGGCUGCGGUGUCUUCCCUGGAUGCCCCCAGGGCUGUCUCGCCACUCAGCCCACCCGCAAGCUCUUCCUUCUCUGCACCGUGUGUCCGACACAUCGUGUGUGUGUCCAUGGCCGGCCAGCCUUUCCAAGAGCACGUGCUCCACAGGGUGGUGGCUUUUGUGCACUCUCAUGGCUGUGGCCUCUGUUUCACAGCAACGUGUAGUUGCUCCCGAGCAUGCAUUGGGCCAAGGACUGCAUGAAUGUGCUUAUCGUGAGGUUAGUGCCCUUCACCUCGUUCCAGGAACUGGAACUGGGAAAUGUUUUAUUCUGCUUCUCCACUGAAGCCUCGCUUUUGAGGGCUGCUUUCUUUGGGAGAAACAGCAGGCUCUAGAUGCAAGGGAAAUUUCCAUUGUGUGCCUUUUCUUUCUGCAGCUGUCUCUGAGCGAGUUGCUCAUCCCCACUUCUCCUUGGAACACGUUUCUCCUCCUCUUUUCCAGCUUGGCUUCUGUUCCCAGGCUCAGAUCUGCUUCCUGACCUUACAGCAUCACCCUUUUUAUAGGAAGAAGUGCCUGCUGAUGUCACAGGUCAAGCUGGUUUCAAUCAGGCUGCUCAGUGGAAGCUGGGAAUGACUCGAGCCAGCUCUUGCCUGGCCUGGCACCAGACAGCAUGUGGCAUGCAGUGCUAACCAUUGGAAGUGACGGCCCGCAGGCAGGAAGAAAGUGGUUCCCAUUCCUCACUGGUGGAAUUGGGGAUGAACAUGGGCCCAGUAUAGUCUGGUGCUGGUGCUGCUAGCGGUGCCCCCGAGGCAGGCAGAUCUGCUGUGUUACUUAUCCUCCAGCUGCGUGGUGAGCACCAGAAGCUCAUUUCCCACCUUGAACCUCUGCCCUGCUCUUAUCUCUUUGUUGCUUGGCUC